AACGCUACUUUCGUUUUCGUUGCUUGCCCUCCGGCUUCCCUUUGUUUGUGUCGUUUUUAUCUAAUCAACGUUUCGUGAAAAUAUAAGUAAUGUUGUGAAAUAUCAAGAAUACAGAGGACUCGACAUGAAUUAUGAGGAACAGUGCGAAUUAAUGACAAAAUGGGCAGAUGGAGAGAGAGACUUUUGUGUUGAAUCCUUGGAUGAAAAAGAACGAAAGUUGAAUUUGAGAAUAUCAAAUACUGACAUAUUGUUGUCUAUUACUGUACCAGCAGACGACAAUGAAAGUUGGGUAAAUAUGGGGUUAUCGUAAAGGCAUUGUUAAACCACGUAAACAUGGUAAAGGCAUGGUUAAAGCAGAAAAUUGUGUAAAGGGGGUGGGGGGGGGGGGUCAUGGUUAUUAAUCAAGCUGAACAGGAACAGCUGUUUAAGACUUUAAGCAUUACUGUAGUUGGAAAGAAGGUAUUAUCACAUGGAAAUGUCUCCUGAAAACACAAGAAUGCUAUUAGAAACAAAAGUUUAUUAUCAAGUUACUGGUCCUUUGGCUUACAAAUUCAUUCUUCAUAUAUGUAUCUCUGUAGCUUACUGGUCUGAAAAAUUUUGGAUGGGUGACCAGAGAGAUUCAGUGCCAUCCAUUUAAAAAAGUGUAUUUUUACUAUGCGCUAAAACAGGUGCUGUUUUUCGAUUCAUUUCGGUAUAUUUUAAAAUAUUACUGUUUCCUAAUUUAUUCUUUCACUACUUCCACAACUAAAUGAAUGUACAAGUGAGGUUGUUAUACACUGCAUGAUGAGGGUGCUCUAUGCGUGCCCAAGGCAACAGUGUAACAAUCAUUUUGUUGCAUGGUCUUUAUUUCUUGGUUGAAUAAUAAAACUUAUCAGGGUUUGAUUGGUAGGGACUGUAAUUACAUAAACAAAUACAUUCACCCUGGUUAAAAUUUUAAGUGAUAGCAAAAAUGCCAGAGAAAAAGUUUUCUUUCAUAGACAUUGCUGAAAUAGAUGAUGUGUGAUUAUGAUUACUAACACAACUUCAAAAAAUAUGAAAAAGAACACCAGGUGGAAUAUUGCUACCUGGGACCAGUGGGCCUGUGAUAUACAUGUAUCAUAUGAAAAUGAAUGUCAUAAAGUUGACCUGAAUGGACUGAUGUAAAAUAAACAUUGCUUGGUCCUAUGAUUAAUCAGUUAAUACUUUCCAUUCAAAAAGACCCCUGCAGGCAUCAGUGUAAUACACAUGCACCAUAUGGGCAAUGAAGUGGAACUUACUGAUCAUUAGAGUGGAACCAUGCAUUAAGUCUGUAAUCCAGGAAGCACAUUGGAUGUUAUACACUGCGAUGGGUGGCACUGUAGCUCCCUGGUUUUCUAUCCAAAUUCUUUUAAGACCAGUGAGGUACAGAUCUGCAUCUGCAUAGUACAAAUUGAGCUAAAUUACCAAAAAAAAUUAAUAAUAAUUAUAAAGCAAAUAACCUUUAAUUAUUUUAAUGUCUAAGCAUUGAAUCCUCCCAAAUUUAAUUCAGCCAAGAGUUGUCUUUAGAGGAGAGAAAUAACUGUAAAUCCCUAAAAUUGCUAUGAUAAGCUGGAUACUAAGAUACCGGUCAUAAAAUUCAGUGUAUAAUCCUAUUACUAAAUUUGGACAUUUUGGUGUCUUUGAUGAUUAUCUUUUUCUCUUUAGAAAUUAAUUCAGAUGUAGUGUCUGAGUGUAUUAUUUCAAAUGAAGAACAAUUAUUAAACUGUAUAGAUAAAAAAAAAACCCAAAUCAUAAUAUUAUUACAAUAGUACCAUUACAUAAAUAUAGUACAUGUAUUUGUUUCUUUUCUCUAUUUUUCCAGUUGGUAUGGAGUGAGAGUGAAAAAAUUCUACCCUUGCUUCAAGAUAUUCAAGAUUUUUUGGCAAGCUCAAGAAAAAGAACUGUUACAGAGAUUUUAGAUAAUGUAAAGGCAAAGAUUUUGGACAAAGUAAAGGCAGGUUGUAUUAAGUCAGGUGAUGACAACGAAAACAACUCAGAUGAUGGUAUCUCUGAGGAUGGAGAUUUUGAUGACUACUACGAUCAAGAUGAUGAUGAUGAUGAUGAUGAUGAUAUAGAGGGCGAAACUAUAGAAAGAGGACCAAAGACAAAAGAAGAUGAGGAAGACGAUGAUGAAGGAGGAAACUUUUUUGGAUCUGAUUCAAGUUGUGUUGCUGUCCAACGAUUAAUGAAAGAUCUGAAAGCAUUCAGAAAAGAUGGGAAAAAGUUUGGAUUAGAUGGAGGACCUAGAAAUGAUAAUUUAUUUCUCUGGGAUAUAAAACUUAUAGACAUUCCAGAAUCAAAACUCUCAAAAGAUCUUGAAACAUUCGCAAAGAGACAUAACACAGAGCCCUGUAUUAACUUAGAGAUGAUGUUUCCACCAGACUAUCCGAUGUCUCCACCAUUUGUGAGGGUUACAACUCCACGAUUUAAAUUUCUUACAGGUCAUGUGACUAUUGGAGGUUCCAUCUGUAUGGAAAUGCUGACAAAAUCUGGAUGGACGCCAACAAACGAUAUAGAAAACAUUUUAGUACAGAUCAGAUGUGAGAUUCUUAGUGACCCCAACGCUCAGCUGGACCUGAACAAUGCAAACACAGCAUACACCCAGUCUGAAGCCCGAGCAGCAUUUCAAAGGAUGGUCCAGAGAUAUGGCUGGGACAAGUCCUAGGAACCAGUUAUAUUAUGUGCUGCAGUCAACGUAUCACAAAAGACAGGGAUUGGACAGUCAUGCAGUAUGGAGGGUUUUUCUAUCACUGACAUUUCUGAAGCUAGUAUGGGACACCUCCACAUUGUGACAUACUUCCCAUCAAAAUAAACAAUAAAAUAAAGUAUGAUUUUAUAAAUGUUUUCUACACCAAAAUUGUUAUCUAUCAGCAUAGCGCAAUGGAUGAAAGUGUGAUCUACUAAUCUGUAUGUCAUGAGUUCGAAUCCCAUUAGGGAUUUUACAAUUUCUACUUUUUCUAUUUAUUUUUUGGUCAAAUAUUGUAAAAUUUGAAAAUUUGAAAAAGGUUAAAGUAUUUCGAUUAUAAUUUUCUAUCGUCCAUGUUAAUAUUGGCAGGUGCCCCAUACCACCUUAAAAAAUUCUGUACUAUUUUGAUGGAUGUAUAUAUAUAUAGUGUGAGUCUGUAUGACUUCUGUAAGGUUUAUAGCAUCUUGAAUCAGCUAAAAAAUCCAUUGAUGUUAUUGUAAAUUGUAGAUAAUUCAUCUUAUUCACCGCACUAGUCCUUUUUAUUGUUUGAUUCAAGAUGUAAUAAAUUUUUGCAAUUUUUUUUUCAAUGUUAAAUUUGGGAAGAAAGGGCACAUGUAAAUUUGUAAAUACUUUAGAUAUUAGACUAUUAUUUUUGUAUAUUUCAUAACUAACUACAUGAAAAGAACAAUUUCAAGCAAUAAAAUUAUCUCUUUUGUAUGUAUGAGAAUUCAUUG
rnacentral:misc_RNA from 1 species